CAAAUACUCCCUCCGUCCGGAAAUACUUGUCAUGAAAAUGGAUAAAAGGAAAUGUAUCUAGACGUAUUUUAGUUUUAGAUACAUCUCUUUUUAUCCAUUUUGAUGACAAGUAUUUUCGGAUGGAGGGAGUAGAAA
rnacentral:pre_miRNA from 1 species